rnacentral:rRNA from 1 species
AACCAACAGGGAUUGCCUCAGUAACGGCGAGUGAAGCGGCAAAAGCUCAAAUUUGAAAUCUAACACUUUCAGUGUUCGAGUUGUAAUUUGAAGAAGGUUUCUCUGAGUAGUCCUUUAUCUAUGUUCCUUGGAACAGGACGUCAUAGAGGGUGAGAAUCCCGUAUGAUUUUGGAUACUAUUCUUUGUGAGAUUCUUUCGAAGAGUCGAGUUGUUUGGGAAUGCAGCUCUAAGUGGGUGGUAAAUUCCAUCUAAAGCUAAAUAUUGGCGGGAGACCGAUAGCGAACAAGUACAGUGAUGGAAAGAUGAAAAGAACUCUGAAGAGAGAGUGAAAAAGUACGUGAAAUUGCUGAAAGGGAAGGGCUUUAGGUCAGACUUGGUGUUUAAAUGAUUAUCUUCUCUUUUUGAGUUGUGCACUCGUUUUCACUGGGCCAAUAUCAGUUUUUGUGGUAGAGCACCUACUGGAAUGUAGCUUUCUUCGGAUGAGUGUUAUAGCCUUUAGACGAUCUAUUUAC